UACGUAGGGUGCGAGCGUUAAUCGGAAUUACUGGGCGUAAAGCGUGCGCAGGCGGUUUUUGUAAGUUUGUCGUGAAAUCCCCGGGCUCAACCCUGGGAAUGGCGAUGAAGACUGCAAGGCUAGAAUCUGGCAGAGGGGGGGUAGAAUUCCACGUGUAGCAGUGAAAUGCGUAGAGAUGUGGAGGAACACCGAUGGCGCAAGGCAGCCCCC
rnacentral:rRNA from 1 species